AUCCCUGUGGCGCAGCGGAUAGCGCACUGGACUUGUAAUCCAGAGGCCGUGCGUUCGAAUUGCACCAGGGAUA